rnacentral:rRNA from 1 species
AUUGAACGCUGGCGGCAUGCCUUACACAUGCAAGUCGAACGGUAACAGGUCUUCGGAUGCUGACGAGUGGCGAACGGGUGAGUAAUACAUCGGAACGUGCCCGAGAGUGGGGGAUAACGAGGCGAAAGCUUUGCUAAUACCGCAUACGAUCUCAGGAUGAAAGCAGGGGACCGCAAGGCCUUGCGCUCACGGAGCGGCCGAUGGCAGAUUAGGUAGUUGGUGGGAUAAAAGCUUACCAAGCCGACGAUCUGUAGCUGGUCUGAGAGGACGACCAGCCACACUGGGACUGAGACACGGCCCAGACUCCUACGGGAGGCAGCAGUGGGGAAUUUGGACAAUGGGCGCAAGCCUGAUCCAGCAAUGCCGCGUGCAGGAUGAA